ACGAGGCAGUGAGCUGCAGAACGAGC
rnacentral:piRNA from 1 species